GCAGAGUAUAAACUCUCUAAACCAUUGUGAACUAACUGUAGUCCGUUGCUUCGGGGUAGCCCACGGGACGUGCUCCUAGCGGUGCCGCCGGAGGACCACUAAACUCUUGUUAAUUUGUGGCUCUCUGAGUACUUAUAUCAAUAAGUAA
rnacentral:misc_RNA from 1 species